rnacentral:rRNA from 1 species
UACGUAGGGUGCGAGCGUUAUUCGGAAUUACUGGGCGUAAAGGGCUCGUAGGCGGGCAAGUACGUCAGACGUGAAAUCCCUCGGCUUAACCGGGGAACUGCAUCUGAUACUGGAUGGCUUGAGUUCGGGAGAGGGAUGCGGAAUUCCAGGUGUAGCGGUGAAAUGCGUAGAUAUCUGGAGGAACACCGGUGGCGAAGGCGGCAUCCUGGACCGGCACUGACGCUGAGGAGCGAAAGCCAGGGGAGCAAACGGG